rnacentral:rRNA from 1 species
GAUGAACGCUGGCGGCGUGCUUAAUACAUGCAAGUCGAACGGAAAGGCCCUGCUUUUGCGGCUCGCUCGAUUGCCGAACGGGGGAGUAACACGCGAGUAAACCGCCCUUGUCUGUGGGAGAACUUCACGAAACUCCGGCUAAUACGGGAUAGAAUCUCCUGCACCAUGGUGGGGGUUGGAAAGUUUCGGCGUUUGGGGAUGGACUCGCGGCUUACGAGCCUGUUUGUGGGGUAGUGGCUGACCAAGGCUUUGACGGGUAGCCGGCCUGGGAGGGUUACCGGCCACCAUGGGCCUGAGAUAGGGCCCAGACGCCUACGGGACGCAACAGUGGGGAGUAUUGCGGAAUAGGGGGAAGCCUGAUGCAGCAACGCCGCGUGCGGAAUACCGUGCUUCGGGUGGUAAACCGCUUUCGCAUGUGACGAAGCGUGAGUGACGGUAAUGGGUAAAAAAGCACCGGCUAACUACGUG